GGAGGCGGGGCCACGCCGGCCAGCAUGAUUGACAGCCCUAGCCUGCGGACUCUGCCAAUGGCUGGCCAGGGAACCAGCCCGCCCCUGCCCCCGCAGGUUCUGCCUCACACAGCAAGGCCGCUGACAGCGCAGCGCCCCACCCGGGCGAAGGCGCGGGGCUCAACGGAGAGGGGACGGGGCGUGGUGAGACUGUAAUGGGCAAUGAACAUGAACUAUUCAGGGGAAGAUUGUUAAAUGAAAGAAUCUCACUGGGCGGGGAGCUAAGCAUGACACCUGGCCACCUGCCUGUGCCUGUCCUGCCGAGAAGAGAGAAGAGGCCUUGAAAGCAGCCAGAGGGGGUGCACACCAGCCUGGGCAGGGGGCAGUAAGCGGGAGCAGCCCCGACCCGAGACCAGCAGCCCCUCUCUUCACCUCCAAGCCGGAGCGUGGCCUCAUCCCUCCCAGGUGACUCUCUUCCCAGAAAUGGUGCUGUCUCAAGAAGCCCCCUCUCUCCAAGCAUCUGCCAGGCCGUUUGAGCUGCCAGGAGUCUUUGUCCUGCCCCACCAGCUCUGUCUCAUCUAGAUGGGGCCUUCUGUCCAGUGCUACUGAACAGAAUGUUCUGCAUGCCUGGCCAGUGCAGAGACCUCCUUGCACCCCUGCUCCAAGGCUGGCUCUGCCACUGACAGAUAGACUGACAUUUGCACUGUUCUGAGCCCCUGGGGGUGCAGUAUGCAGAGCUAGGCCAUCUCUGUCGUCCUACAAGAACCAGGCAGCCCUGAGCAAGGCUUUUAACAUGCAAGGUGUACUCCACUAGUCUUAAGAUAUCUUGAGCCACUGUCUUGCUGCUCCCAACUCCCAAGCCACGCUGACUUUCUUUCCCUCGGGACUGAAACACCUCUGCUGAUCCCUGAUCCAUAUCCCUCCCCAUGAAAGAAAUAUAAUACAUAAAAGAGAGCCCUCUCCACUGAGCACCUCCCUUCCUUUGUAGCACUUACUUCAACUGACCCUUACAGGGAUCGUGUAACUAGACUAUGAAUGUCAUGAAGGCUACGUCGUGUCUCCGACCCCCUACUAAAGGCUCCAACCCCAGGGAGGACCCCUCCCCUGGCCUGGGGAGGAGGAUCAGGAAGAUCUCUUUAGUAAAAGGUCCGGUUGGACUGGGACAUAGGUCUUUCCUGAGCAAGAACUCUAAAGCCCACUUGUUUCCUUACUAGAAGAUGAAGGUUAGAAAUGUUCUUUCUUAUUUAAAACCAUGGCUUGCAAUGCUGCUUGGCCCUCAAGUCAAGCAGAAGCACAGCCCACAUACCACACAACACAGGAUUUCCUCACGGCUCAUCUUCCAAGUGAGAAGUGAAAGGAAUGUCGUGGGAAACCGCAAGAGUCUGUUCUAAUGAUAAAGCAGAGGUCCAGAGAACCGCACUUACCCUCAGCAGUGCACAGUGGUGAUGAACAACACGCCAAGCAGAAGAGAAAGGGGCCAGGACCUUGGACGGGGGCUGAAUUCAGAAUCAGCGCACAGGAGAAGUGAAGUUUGAGACUUCGAGAAUGAGCCGAAGGGAGACCUUUCUCACUGUCAAGGCGGUGAAGCACAGGCCGCAGAGGGGAGGUGUUUGACCUGGGGGCGCUCAUCACAUGCUGUGCCUAGAAUCGAAGUCCGGGCUCACACCAGACCUCCAAGGCCAGAACCCGAAGACUGGAUCUUCUGAGAACAUCAGAGAAAGACUGUCCUUGCCAUCCGCACUGCAACAAAACUUAGGGAUCUUGAAACUUGGGUUCAUAAUCUCACAACUGAGAAGGGUCCAUCCACACUCCUGGAACUGUACACCCAUUGGAACCUUUAAGGUAAAGCCAAGGAAGUCUCUCCCCAGAAGAUGGCAUCCUUGAUGUGAACGGCUUUUGCUAAGAUCGUGGAUCAAGACUUCUACUGUCAUGAGACUCUCUUUUUUUUUUCUUUUUUGGAGAUGGAGUCUUGCUCUGUCACCCAGGCUGGAGUGCGGUGGUGCAGUCUCAGCUCACUGCAACCUCUGCCUCCUGGGUUCAAGCGAUUCUCAUACCUCAGCCUUCCGAGUAGCUGGUAUUACAGGUGCCUGCCACCACACCAAGCUAAUUUUUGUAUUUUUAGUAGAGAUGGGUUUUUGCCAAGUUGGCCAGGCUGGUUUUGAACUUCUAACCUCAGGUGAUCCGCCCACCUCGGCCUCCCAAAGUGCUGGGAUUACAGGCAUGCACCACCACGCCUGGCCAUGAGACUCUUAUCUUUGAGUAUCUGUUCCUUGCUUAUGCCUCUAUGAAUAAUAGAAAUGAAAAGACGAUCUGUUGUGUGCACUUAUGGGGUAUACUUUCAUUUGUGAAGGAUUUUGCAGCCAGCCUUAUACACGGAUAACUUUAUACUUUGAUAGAUAAAAGAUGAAGGUCCAGUGUAGGUGAGAAACUUUAAUGAGACAUAUGUUGCCUGUAAUCAGUCAGAAACAGAAUAUCGGUUCACUCCUCUUAACCCACACUAUGGGUUAAAGAGGGCAUUGCCAGGAGGGCUUUACUCUUCCAGAAGGGCAUCACUUUUCCAUGGUUUAGAGUAAAAGAGGCCAUAACCAGAAAUGUAUCCCUCAUGAUAGGCUGUAUAGCAGACUCUACUGUAAAGGCUAUAGUUACACAACAGACUUUCAAUUCCCUUGUGAAAGGUAUGCUAAAUAAUAGAAUUGACUAAACAGAAAAGUAGUACCUGUGCAGCUGCUGGCACCUGUGGCCUAGGGAGAAAUACAUCAGGUAUUAUAGAGAUUCAGUUGUGGGAGAUUAAUGAAAAGGCCACUUAGUUGAGUGAGUAGCCUCUUAUCUAGCUCAUUGUCUGAUCUAUUUGAUUUGGGGUGGUUUGGUGUAUAGGGACCCUGGGUAAGGAGCAUACUGCAAACUCUUGGUAUUAUCCUCCCAGUAAUCAUAAUAAUAGUCUCCCUGGUGCGCUGCAUUCUCUCAAAGGUUUUAAAUGUCUGCAUGCAGCCAUCUCUAGAACAACAAAUGGUCUCUCUUCAACUGGAAUGGCAGAAGCUGAAAGAAAUGUGUGACCAUGAGGACACCGUAACCUAUGAAUGACGUGCUGAGACCAGAAACCCAAAACGAUGGUAACUGAGAGUGGUGCUAAGGCCCUAAGUUUUGGUCACACUCUCGCCUGUAGGGUCCAGCCCUACUGGGCCUGUGGGUUUUUCUCCUCACCUGCGGAGAUGAGAGAUCACAGAAAUAAGGACACAAGACAAAGAGAUAGAAGAAAAGACAGCUGGGCCCAGGGGACCACUACCACCUAGACACGGAGACUGGUAGUGGCCCCGAAUGCCUGGCUGCCCUGUUACUUAUUGGAUACAAGACAAGGGGGCAGGGUAAGGAGUGUGAGUCAUCUCCAAUGAUAGGUCAGGUCACGCAAGUCACGUGUCCACCGGACAGGGUGCCCUUCCCUGUUUGGUAGCCGAGGCGGAGAGAGAGAGGAGACAGCCUACGUCAUUAUUUCUUCUAUGCAUUUCAAAGACUUUAGCACUUUCACUAAUUCUGCUACUGCUAUCUAGAAGAUGGAGCCAGGUGUACAGAGCGGAACAUGAAAGUGAAACAGGAGCGUGACCGCUGAAGCACAGCAUCACAGGGAGAUGGUCAGGCCUCCGGAUGGCUGUGGGCGGGCCUGACUGAUGUCAGGCCUUCCACAAGAGAUGGUGGAGCAGAGUCUUCUCUAACCCCUCCGCCCCUCUCCCCUGGCCAAAGGGAGACUCCCUUCCCUGGUCGGCUAAGUAACAGGUGCCUUCCCAGGCACUGUCAUUACCACUAGACCAGGGAGCCCUCUAGUGGCCCUGUCUGAGCGUGACAGAGGGCUCACACUCGUCUUCUGGUCACUUCUCACCCUGUCCCUUCAGCUCCUAUCUCUGUAUGGCCUGGUUUUUCCUAGGUUAUAAUUGUAGAACAAAGAUUAUUAUAAUAUUGGAAUAGAGUAAUGCCACAAACUAAUGAUUGAUAAUAGUCAUAUCUAAUCAUAUCUAUAAUCUAUUUCUAGUAUAACUAUUCUUUUUGUUUUGUUUUGUUUUGUUUUUGUUUUUGUUUUUUGAGACAGAGUCUCGCUCUGUCACCCAGGCUGGAGGGCAGUGGCGCAAUCUCGGCUCACUGCAAGCUCCGCCUCCCGGGUUCAUGCCAUUCUCCUGCCUCAGCCUCCCGAGUAGCUGGGACUACAGGUGCACGCCACCACGCCCGGCUAAUUUUUUGUAUUUUUAGUAGAGACGGGGUUUCACCGUGUUAGCCAGGAUGGUCUCGAUCUCCUGACCUCAUGAUCUGCCCACCUCGGCCUCCCAAAGUGCUGGGAUUAUAGGCGUAAGCCACUGCGCCCGGCCUAGUAUAACUAUUCUUAUUCUAUAUAUAUAUUUUUUAUUAUACUGGAACAGCUUGUGCCCUCGGGGUCUUGCCUUGGCAGCUGGGUGGCUUGCCGCCCACACUCACCUAAGUGAGAACCUGGACAGAAAGGGGAAUUUAUUAAAAUAAAAUUAUGGGAGGCCAUUGUUUUGGACUGAGCUCAUGCACUAUGUCCCAACAGACUAAGCCAAACAAAAAUGGAGUCACUCAUGCUAAAUGUGACAUAAUCAAACUAAGACUUUAAGGAAACACAUAGAUCCUAACAGAUUCCCCUAUAAACAGGACGUUCCAGCAUAAGGAGGUACCCUCAGUCCUUGUUCCUACCUUUGCAAAACUCACUGUUCUACUGUUUCUCAGAGGGUUUCAGGACCAAAUAAGUACAUUUACGAUGGUGAUAGUGACAUCAAUGACUAAAGUUUUGGUCAAUCUCUCAAAAUUGAGAAAAUGACCAAAAGGGUGGAAUUGUUAAAGCAAACUAAAUAUGGCCUGAGAAGGACUCCAUACUUCUCUAUUUGAGUCCUUGUGGACGAACUGCAACCUAACUUAAUUGGUAGACAAGACUGAAACCCUGACAUCCUCACUUGGGAGUCUGCACCUGUGGCAGUACCUGAGUCUUGGCCAAUCCCAGCAGCCGUACUUCACUCGUACACUGCUGAGAGUUCAAACUGUGUCCAAAUAAGGCAAAUGCCGAGCUGCAACCAACCCAGCUGUUUCUGUACUCACCUCCAAUUUCUAUAUGUCACUUCCCUUUUUUGUCUAUAGAUUUGUUCUGACCACGAGGUAUCCCUGGAGUCCCUCUGAAUCUGCUGUGAUUCUGGGGGCUGCCCAAUUCGUGAAUCGUUCAUUGCUCAAUUAAACUCAUUUAAAUUUAA
rnacentral:antisense_RNA from 1 species